GUAAGGAAUAUUGGACAAUGGAGGCAACUCUGAUCCAGCCAUGCCGCGUGAAGGAAUAAGGCCCUAUGGGUUGUAAACUUCUUUUAGACGGGACAAAACCCCUUUACGUGUAAAGGGUUGAUGGUACUGUCAGAAUAAGCAUCGGCUAACUUCGUGCCAGCAGCCGCGGUAAUACGAAGGAUGCAAGCGUUAUCCGGAAUUAUUGGGUUUAAAGGGUGCGUAGGCGGACUAAUAAGUCAGUGGUGAAAGCCUGCAGCUUAACUGCAGAAUUGCCAUUGAUACUGUUAGUCUUGAGUACAGUUGAGGUAGGCGGAAUGUGUCAUGUAGCGGUGAAAUGCUUAGAUAUGACACAGAACACCGAUUGCGAAGGCAGCUUGCUAAGCUGUAACUGACGCUGAGGCACGAAAGCGUGGGGAGCAAAC
rnacentral:rRNA from 1 species